rnacentral:rRNA from 1 species
GACGAACGCUGGCGGCGUGCUUAACACAUGCAAGUCGAACGUGAUUUUUGUGGAAAUUCUUUCGGGAAUGGAAAUGAAAUGAAAGUGGCGAACGGGUGAGUAACACGUGAGCAACCUACCUUACACAGGGGGAUAGCCGUUGGAAACGACGAUUAAUACCGCAUGAGACCACAGAAUCGCAUGAUAUAGGGGUCAAAGAUUUAUCGGUGUAAGAAGGGCUCGCGUCUGAUUAGCUAGUUGGAAGGGUAAAGGCCUACCAAGGCGACGAUCAGUAGCCGGUCUGAGAGGAUGAACGGCCACAUUGGAACUGAGACACGGUCCAAACUCCUACGGGAGGCAGCAGUGGGGAAUAUUGCACAAUGGGGGGAACCCUGAUGCAGCGACGCCGCGUGAGCGAAGAAGGUUUUCGAAUCGUAAAGCUCUGUCCUAUGAGAAGAUAAUGACGGUAUCAUAGGAGGAAGCCCCGGCUAAAUACGUGCCAGCAGCCGCGGUAAUACGUAUGGGGCGAGCGUUGUCCGGAAUUAUUGGGCGUAAAGGGUACGUAGGCGGUUUUUUAAGUCAGGUGUGAAAGCGUGAGGCUUAACCUCAUUAAGCACUUGAAACUGGAAGACUUGAGUGAAGGAGAGGAAAGUGGAAUUCCUAGUGUAGCGGUGAAAUGCGUAGAUAUUAGGAGGAAUACCGGUGGCGAAGGCGACUUUCUGGACUUUUACUGACGCUCAGGUACGAAAGCGUGGGGAGCAUACAGG